GCAGAAAUUUUACCAAAAGUUGUUACUGCCCAGACUUGCCUGAUAUCAGCUAUUGUUUCAUUGAAACAACCCUUAAAUGAGUUAACAGAAAUUGACAAGCAGCAAAUGGUACAACAUUCUGUGGAUCAACCAACUGCUGCACUACCUCCUGUGACACCAAAUGAUAAUAAUGCACAGGUUUGUAUAAUGCCAUCGUCUAGUUCAUUGACACAAUCAUCGAAUGCUUUAACUACUACACAGGAUACCAACACAGACAAAGGGAUAGUACA
rnacentral:lncRNA from 1 species